UUCAAAUAUCUUGACCGAAUACACAGUGUAUAUCAAGUGUAUAUCCAAGGUAUAUAAUUUUCCAAAACAAUUUUUUAAAGUCAAGAUUCAGUGGUUGAAAAAUUGUUGAAAAAUUAUUUUUACAAAGUUCAAGACUCAAUUAUUAUUUAGAAAAUCACUCCUUCAAUCAUGGAUUUGUUGUUGAAUUUGUUAUCACAAAAUCUACCAUUUUCAAAUAUCUUGACCGAAUUAUU
rnacentral:lncRNA from 1 species